UUAUUCUAAUAUUCGGUCCAGAAUUCCUCUCUGUGAACCGUUUCUGUUUAGAAUCUGUGUUCAUAAAUGCUGGGAGUGUGUCAGCUGGUGACUUCAGAGGAAAGGGGAACCACUACACAUGAGGACCUCAUGUUGACCCCAAUAUAAACGAGAAACAAGAGCCCAAGAAGCAGAGGAAGUUAGGAGAUAGUAAGCUGUCCAGAAAUUAGCCAACGACUGUGGAAUGGCUCUAGACUUCUGUAGCAAAUGGAAAUAUGAGGCCAUAAAAAUCAUUCUCUCUCCCUCCAUGUGGAGAAUGAAGACUUUUUGGGACACCUUAAAUCCAGAGAAAAGGAAAGAAGAUACAUACAGCCAGAGCAGAA
rnacentral:lncRNA from 1 species